rnacentral:tRNA from 1 species
UGGGGCGUGGCCAAGUGGUAAGGCACCGGGUUUUGGUCCCGGUAUCGAAGGUUCGAAACCUUUCGUCCCAG